UACGUAGGGUGCAAGCGUUGUCCGGAAUUAUUGGGCGUAAAGAGCUCGUAGGCGGUUUGUCGCGUCUGCUGUGAAAACUCGGGGCUUAACCCCCCAGCCUGCAGUGGGUACGGGCAGACUAGAGUGCGGUAGGGGAGAUUGGAAUUCCUGGUGUAGCGGUGGAAUGCGCAGAUAUCAGGAGGAACACCGAUGGCGAAGGCAGAUCUCUGGGCCGUAACUGACGCUGAGGAGCGAAAGCAUGGGGAGCGAACAGG
rnacentral:rRNA from 1 species